AGGGGAUUGGUGUAAUGGUAGCACGACGGAUUCUGAUUCCGUUAGUAAAGGUUCGAGUCCUUUAUCCCCUA
rnacentral:tRNA from 1 species